GCAGCACCAUCGACAAGUUCAUGUACGCGUGAAGAGGCGCAGAGUCAAGUUGCUGCGACGCACGAGCGAAAGUUCACCGUGAGCCACAUUAGCGAAACCUGCUGCAUUCCUGCACUCUAUCAAGAAAAUAAGCAGGCGCACGCUUGGAACAGUAGCAGCAUUACCGACUCUGCGAGUUUGUUGCGCCCUGCCCGAACAUGGAGGAAUUACCCGCGCCAUCGCCUGCUGCGUCGACAGCGCCGACGCAGGUUAAUGUAGAGUUUUCGAGCGACGACGCGCUGGUGCCGUCCCCCAAGGUGCUGAUCGGCACUACCGACGAAGGUGGCCGCGCUCCUCGCAACCGCGAAAACCGGCGCAUUCAAUUCCUCGACGACGGUAAGCUCUUCGAGGGCCACUUCACCGUCCAGUCGCGCAAUCUCAAGAGCAUUAUCCAGUAUCUGGUGGACCGGCAAAGCGAGCAGGAUGUCAUCAUCCAAGAUUUGCAGAGGCAAGUGCACGUGCUGCGCACUCGUCAACUGAAAGCCAAGCAGCGGGCGGGAGGGGAUGGCGAAAUGUGGCUGCGGGCUGCAGCCGCCUCCGGCAAGUCCGCCUCUGGGCGUGGUGUAGAGGACCGUGUGAAGCACAUCGAGCAGUUCCUGCAGCUGUGGGGUGUGCGCCUCGGGGAUGUCGCGAAGCUUGUCGAGGAGUACGGCGAUCCUGUCAUCACCCCCGACGCGUAUACCUCGUACCUAGUGGAUCUGCCCGCGUUUCGCUUCACUCGUCGCGAGACGCGUGCUUUCGUGAUCAGUGCCAGCGAGCAGUCCAGCAUCAGCGCCGCGGCAGCCGCAGCCAGUGACACGGCGACGCGUCGGCGCCACAACAGCAGCCCAUCAAAGCGGGAAACGGGCUCGGCUGGCUCUUCCUCCGAUACUGAAAGGAAGUGCGACGACGGCGCUACGGAGACAGCACUCGAGAAGGCAACUGCCGCCCUCAUGAAGGCCGAGAUGCUCUUGGAAGAGCUGCGCAGCAUUCCGGCACGGCCACCGCCGCCAUCCUCCAAGGCCCGCCGAGCCGAGGCUUCGGCACCGAAUACGGACAAGGGCGGCUCUGGCGGUAGCGGCGGUGCAAUAGAUCACGAGGCCCGCGCAGACAUCGAGGAACUCGGCGACUACGUGAUACGCCGCUUCCAGGAGCUAGAGGCGCAGUCGAUGAUGACGGCAGCAACGGUGGCCAGGGCCGCUGCUGCGCCGCGAGCAGAGAAGGGCGGUGGCAGCAGUGUGGGCGGAGGCGGGGCCGCUGCUGCAAAGGCUGCCCCAGCGCGUCCGAAGCAAGUGCCAACGAAAAAGCCGGUCGCAAACACCGCCUUGCCCACGCCUGCGCUGGAGCCUCCUCCGUUGCCGCACAUGGUUCCUGGUGAAGUGAUCGACACCGUUGCCCGCGAGGACGCUGCGACGUCCCUUGACCUGCUAGAGGAGCUGGAGGUGACGAUGGAGCGUCGGUUCAAGGAGGUGAACAGCGCCCUUGCGAACAUUGCGCUGCGCACUGCUUCCAUGGCAAAGAACAGCAGCGGUAGUGCCCCUUCUGCGGCAGAGCCUGAAAAGCAGCAGCAGCAGCGGUCCGGCUCGCCGUCGUCAAAGAGCCCGUCGAGCAAGACACGGUCGCCGUUCUCAGGCAAGCUGGCCGACAAGAACGCUGAGCCGAAACCAGUGGUGGUCGAUAUCGAGGCGGAGGUGGAGGAGGCCAGUGUGUCGGCGUCCGCGUCUCAUGCGCCAUCCUCAACAUCCAAAGUGCUUCGCCCAUCCAAAGGCAAAUCAAAGCAGACGGCUAGCAACCCUGCUGGACCUCUCAUCCCAAGCGUUGGGGUCGAUCAGGCGGCCAGGGAUGAGAUGGCGGCCCUCUCAGACCGAGUCGGCGACCUCGAGGAGGAGCUGCUGGAGCGGUGGCAGGCGAUGGAGGAGCGGCUGCGCAUCAUAGGCAGAGCCGCUAUGAAGCAGAGUGUGUCCAACGCCGCUGCAGGGCCGGGCGGCACAGCAGUCACGGCGGUGAACCGCGCCCCUAUUGUGGACCGCAAAGCCCGUGAGGACGCUGCCCUUUCCCUCAUGCGGCUACAGCAGCUGGAGAAGGAGCUGGCGCAGCUGAAGCGGCAGUGGGCCUCCGCAGAUGCCUCCGCCAGGUCUGCCCUUGGCAACGCCGACCCGCCUGCAGGCGCAAGCAAAACGAUACUCACCACGCCGGCCGUACCUAUGGAGCCGAGCGCGCCGCUGCGGGACACGUAUGACAGCAAAGUCACGGACCUAGAGAAGGAGGUGGCGCAGCGGAUGGCGGAUGUAAAUGAGGCCAUUGCGCAGCUAAGAGGCGGGGCCAUGCGGGUCACACCCGGCCUCGACGCCGCUGUCUCGGCGGCGCGAAUCACGAAUGACACUGGCCGAGUGGACGUGCUCUCCGAUCUCAAUACGCUGGCGUGGAUUGCCUCCCUGGCACCGUCAGCGGAGAGCCUCGCAAUUCUUCCAGAUCAGCCGCAAACGCAUCAAUCAGAGGCCACUUCACCCUCUGCUUUACCGGCUCAAAACCACCUGACCUUACGUGCAAUGGACACCGAUGCGCUUCCCGGUGUAGCGGCAGAGGGCCGCUUGCCAGAGGUGGACCCGUCGCGGCGUGCUGAGACGUAUCAGUCGGUGCUGGCACUCGGCUACAGCAAAAACACUGACGUGGACCUCUUCACCGCCUACCUAAUGGGCGGCAGCUCCUCCGGGGCGAAGCGCACGGCUAUCAGCCGCCUACGUCCUCCCGACGCGCCAACGUUUGGCACCCAUCUUGUAGAGCGUGCUAUGGUUGACUUGCCGGCAGACACCGCGAUAGUCGCUGCCGGGGAGGCGGCCAAUGUGGCGGAAAAACGCACUUCUGUGCAGAGCAGCGCCGCCGCUGCCGCGCCUCUUGUUGCCGAUGCGCAGCGUGAAGCAGUCGUUGCAGCUAAAUCAUAUCUGGAAAACCGAACUUUCUCCGUCUCUCCACCACCCGGGGCUCCCAAGGGCGGCAUUACGCGUGUGCGGAUGUCGGAGGUGAGGGGCGUGUCACCAGCAGCGCCGAGCUUACCACAUCAGCACGUCCGCGAGACUCUUGUACACACCGAACCGUGCCUGGUCGUCAACUGUGCGUGGUGCGACACCGAGAAGGCAGCGGAGCCGACCCUCACGUAGGCAGGAGAUCCUAACGCGUGGGUGGCCGGAGGCGUGGGAGAGACUGCGUGCGCUUGUGUCUUUGCGGGGGACGUUCGCGUGCUGUGGCUUCACUCUCGCGGGGAUGUACGCAUUCCCACCGCUGCUCUUCUCUUCCCCUGCUUGGGGGCGGGAUGGAGGUGGGCGGAGGCGGCCUCGGUGAGAGGUCGCGCGCAAACGUAUGUACACUAGAGGCGCAUCUUUUCUUUUUUCCGGUUCCCUUCUUCGUGUGCUGUUGUUGAUGUCAUGCGCAUAGCAGACUUCCUUUGUGUUUCCAUUGCAUAUGUUUACGAUGUCGACACUCGUGUAGCGCACUUCUUUGAAUUUCGCUGUGCCUCUCCUUUCCGUAGGUGCUUGGGUGGCUGUAUGUGUGCGCAUCCGCAUCUGACGGAGCGACACACCGCAAAACGAUGGAGAGGGGAGGGGCCCAGGGGCACUGGAGGAGGGGCUAGACGGCGCGAAAAGAGGACGAGGGGAAGGGGGAAGGGCAGAGUGCGAUGCGAUUGUCACGCGCAGCCCCCCCUCCCCCCGCCUUCCGCUCUCUACGCGUUUUCUGUUUCCUAUUUGGUCCCCCGCCUUGUCUCCUUUGAAGACAGGCGAGAGGGUCGGAUAGGUAGAGUUGGGCGGUAGAGGCGUCGCUUUCCGUGUGUCGCUUUUCUUUCUCAUGGCUUCUUUUCUGCGUUACCUUUAUUCACCACGGUGCUUGCUCAUUUCCGUGUGCUGUCCCGCACCCCCCACCCCCACGUGCACACGCCACUUCACCCUAUCUUUCUUUACCUAUGUACAUGCACGAUUGCAGGCGCCUCUUUUCAACCGCAGCCUUUAUCAUCAUGCUUCUAGUCAGCAUCGUCUCCAAUACUGCUGCUGUUAUCGUUGCUACUGAUGGUGCUUUCCCUUCCGUUCCUGUUUUCUCUCCUCUUGAGCCGCUGCUGCGCUCUUGGUGCCGUCUUAGUGGGCACGCCUUCACGCUUCUCUGUCUCUCGCUCGCGCUCUCUCGUGCGCGCUUAUAUGUGUGUAAACCGCACCAGCAACGGCUUUAACUCGGGCCGCGAAAGCAACAACACACACACGCGCGCACAAGACAGAGAUAACAAUACAGAAGAAACCGAUGCCGCCAUCUAGCACAGAGGGCACCGCACGGACAAGCUAGUCCAAAA
rnacentral:misc_RNA from 1 species